AGUUUCUAUUGAGUCCGAACAGAAAGUGCAUUUAUUGUUUUGUGAGACUUUAAUUUUGUAGAGUAAUUUAUUAGUUCCCAAAAUUCUGUGAUUAAUCCUGUAUUGGAGCCACUGUAAUUUUGAGUUUUUAGUAAUGUAAAACGGAAGUCUGUAUAUUUUAUUCCAAAUAAUAUUAUGUCUAUUUAAGAUUAAGGACCACUUUUCCUGUGA
rnacentral:lncRNA from 1 species